GGAAUAUUGGACAAUGGGGGGAACCCUGAUCCAGCGAUGCCGCGUGGGUGAAGAAGGCCUUCGGGUUGUAAAGCCCUUUAGGUUAGGAAGAAGGGUACUAGGUUAAGAGCUAGGUACUUAGACGGUACUAACAGAAUAAGCACCGGCAAACUCUGUGCCAGCAGCCGCGGUAAUACAGAGGGUGCGAGCGUUAAUCGGAAUUACUGGGCGUAAAGGGCGCGUAGGCGGUUAUAUGAGUGUGAUGUGAAAGCCCCGGGCUUAACCUGGGAAGUGCAUUGCAAACUGUAUAGCUGGAGUAUAUGAGAGGGUGGCGGAAUUUCCGGUGUAGCGGUGAAAUGCGUAGAGAUCGGAAGGAACGUCAAUGGCGAAGGCAGCCACCUGGCAUAAUACUGACGCUGAGGCGCGAAAGCAUGGGGAGCGAAC
rnacentral:rRNA from 1 species